CCUCUCAUGGCGUAGUGGUUAACGCGCCCCAACUAGAGAUCGGAGAGUCGUGAGUUCGAUUCUCACUGAGAAGA
rfam:Aedes aegypti strain Liverpool supercont1.586 genomic scaffold, whole genome shotgun sequence.